UUAGGAAUCUUGCGCAAUGGGCGAAAGCCUGACGCAGCGACGUCGCGUGACUGAUGAAGUCUUUCGGGAUGUAAAGGUCUUUUCUGGGGGAAGAAGGAUGUGACGGUACCCCAGGAAUAAGCCCCGGCUAACUACGUGCCAGCAGCCGCGGUAAUACGUAGGGGGCGAGCGUUGUCCGAAUUCACUGGGCGUAAAGCGCGCGUAGGCGGACUUUUAAGUUGGGGGUGAAAUCCCGAGGCUCAACCUCGGAACUGCCUUCAAAACUGGAAGUCUUGAGGUAUGGAGAGGGAAGUGGAAUUCCUGGUGUAGCGGUGAUAUGCGUAGAUAUCAGGAGGAACACCCGUGGCGAAGGCGGCUUCCUGGCCAUAUCCUGACGCUGAGGUGCGAAAGCUAGGGGAGCGAACGGG
rnacentral:rRNA from 2 species